GCCUUUUCCCAGAGCUGCGGAGGAGCUCCCAGUCCUGGCUCAUGAGGUCAGGGGGCUGAUGGCCUGGCCCUGCAGAUUCAGAUGAGCCCUGCCCUGGCUGCCUGCUGCUUCACACGGCCUGAUCUUUUGACCAGAAAGGAAUUAAAAAGAAGGUCCCGCAUGAUGGCUGCACCUGUCAGCUGCAAGGAGCUUCCUUUAAGGAUCUUCUGAGUCUUGUGGGUAAACUCCAGGAGUUGGUGAUGGACAGGGAGGUCUGGUGUGCUGCAGUCCAUGGGGUCGCAAAGAGUAGGAUGCGACUGAGCGACUGAACUGAACUGAACUGAGUCUUGUGGAUUUACAGCGAUACUCAGCCGCCUGCGUGGGGACUGAUGCUGGUGGAAGCAGGCUCUCAGGGACACACACCGGCCACACUUCUGGAUGCUCAUGGUGGUUUUAGGAGGGCCCUGGCUGAGCACCUCAUGGAUUCCUGCAGCCUGGAUGAAGACAGGAGACAGAGGACCGAUGCUUCCUGCCUUUCUCACUGACGGGAAUGUUCAGUUGGAGCUCUGCCAGCUCCCCUGGGGGCUGCCUCUGAAACAAUCUUGUUACACCUGGGAUUUUGGUGCCUUUAAUCUGAGAAAAAGUACAUAUCCAUUCAGUAAUCCAAAAGGACUUGAAACUCUUCUUCUCUGAACUAAAGCUAGAGUAUCAUGGGAUUUAAAGAAUCAAGCCCAAGGAGGACGUUCCUCAUCAGUGGGUGGUGUUUCUUCAGACACUGAUUAGAAGAUUCAGGUCUCGUCCAGGUUGUUGGGCCGCCAUCCUUCAAGGACUCUGAUAUCCACCAGGCUGGCAGAGGCGAAAAGGUAAGGUAGAGGGGCCUAGACACCGUGUCCUGAAAGUGGCACCUGGCCACUCUUUUUGCAAGAAGCCGUCUCCUUGGCGGACCUCAGCUGGGACCUCGGUGAUAGGCGACUUCGUUUUUUUUUUUUUUUUUCUGUGCCUCUCGGGAAUGUUGAUGAAUGGCUGUAAAAGUGCUGAGACUUUGGGGCUACAGAUAAAUUUUAGCGAGUGGAUGAACGGCAACCCACUCCAGGAUUCUUGCCAGGAUCAUCCCAUGGACAGAGGAGCCUGGGGGGCUACAGUUCAAAGGGUCACAGAAAACUGGCCACAAAUGAGUGACUGAGCACAAAUUCACGAAUACAGAAUCUACAAAUAGCGAGGACUGACUAAAUGUAUCAUCAUCAAAUGUGAGACUUAGGACCCCCGUGAGCCGGAAUUCUGGAGUAGGUUUCAAGAAUUGUUUUCUGGAAAGAUUUCCAGAAAGCCAGGGGUGGAAGAGUUUCUGUGCAGAGGGUAAAGGACUAAGUAUUUUAGGAUGGGCAGGCCACACCAUCUCUGUGUCAUUGGUGUAACACAAGCAACUGUGAACAGUAUAGAACAAAUGGGCAUGGACGUGCUAAGUAAACCUUUAUUUUUGCAGACUGAAAUGAAUUUCACAUAAUUUUCAUGUCACAAAACUCUAUUCUUCUGAUUUUUAACCCCAGUCAUUUAAAAAUGUAAAAGCCAUUCUUGGCUGAAAAAAACAGGUGGUAGCCAGAUUUGGCCUGAAGGCCAAAGUUUGCCAGCUCCCGCCUUAGACACUGCUAGAAAGGGAAACUUACUAACUAUGAAAAAAGUGAAAUAAUUCAGAACAGGACAAAGGAUAAAGUUUAAAAAUUCACCUAAAAUCC
ensembl:lncRNA